ACAAAAUCCCCAGAGUGUUCCAUACAGCUCUAAUUUGUCAAUGGGUUCACUAGAAAGCAAAAAUCAAAGCAAAUCUGGAGCUCACCUCAGCUCCUUAGUGUAAUGAACUGGUAGGACAAUAGGGAGGAGGAAGAGGAUCCCAGGGAGGGGUGUGGCUAGGACAAGCAGGGGAUGGAAAAGUAAGUACUCACAGGGUGACCAAGGAUGGUGAGGGGAUGGAGGUCAGUGCAUAGAAACCAGAGCAGCAGAACCCAUCACCAGAAGGGACCCUGACCCCAUGAACAUAGCAGGCAUUGUGGCGCAGGGAGAGGCAGGUGGGGCUGAGGCCAGCAAGGGCCUACAGCCCAGCUCACUAGCUCUGGGAGGAGGGGUGUGAUGCCUCAGCUGGAAUAGGCUUAGAACAGGUAGCCACAUGUCUCAUCAAGCCCAGAUGUUGCAAUCAUCAGGCAAAGUACAAAAAAGGAAGCAGAGCUGAGGUGCUGUAUCUGUUCAACUGCCCAUAUUGAUGGACCUUGACUCGGAUGCUCCUGGAUCUCCAUGGGACUGUGCUUUGGGUUUAACUCUGGACUGUAUUCUGACUGCUGAACUUCAGACUUGGCUACUUGGAUUGACCUUGGACUGCAUUUCCUUAGGACUAUGGAUUUUGAACUUUGCUUCUUGCUUCUGUGGUUUGACCCCUGGACUUGGACCUUGGACUUGACAUACUGACUUGCUGCCAGGUAGACCAGGGGGUCAGGAUACUUAGGAAUUUUGGUGAAAGAAAUCAAGAGUUUCAAGUGAUUUUUUUCACUUAUCUGUAAUUUACUUUGUGAUCAGUUUGAGAUACUGGUGGGACAUCUAGGAGGAAGCACCGGCAAUCAAUUUGUCUACUUACAUACUGUAUUUUUUACCUUUCUUUUCAGACAGUUAUGAUCUCCCACAAUGAAUCACAAUAAUAAAGAAAGAAAAUGAACAACAGACUCAGCCAUCAGGCUUACAAACUAAAAAUACAAGAUACACAGGGGAAGGGAUGCGGAAGGGAAAGGCAGAGGAGGAAGAUCAGUUUUCCAAGGUCGGAAGGUCACCACUUCUGCACCUCCCAAAAGCAGGAAAUCAAUCACCAAACAAGAAGACUAAAGCAGCCAGAACUCCCUGAGAGACACCUUUCAUUGGUUGUUUCCAUCUCCUGUUUGCUGGCAUCACAGAAUCCUGCCUCCCUGCACCUACAUCAACAUCACAUGUGUGAGGCUGAUGGAAUAAGUGAUCUGAAUCAGCCAUCAGAACAAGCAGAGGCGUCGGUACAUCAAGAGCAGUGAAGAAAAGGGGGUGGCAAUUUUUUUUUAAAAAAAAAAACCUGCCAAGCAUCAGCUGAGCCCUCUAAAUCUUGAUUUUGCACAUCUGCAGAAGCAUGGAGAGAAAUCACUAUGCAUGAGAAGCACCCUAUUUAUAACACUCUCACCCUCUUUCCUAUGCAGCGUGAAGCUGUACAGGGAUAAGCUUUCUCACCAAAGGAUGCUUUUACCGAUUCACUGUAUCACACUUGCUGAAGGCCAACCUGGAAUCCUGAUGCAAGCAGAAAAUAUUUUUGUUUCACAAAAGACCUCCACCUAAAAUGGCAAUAACAACAUUUAUAUUCCAAAGACAUAUUUUCCUUGUUAAAAAUGUGUUAUUGCAGAGGACGUGAUCAAGUGAUAACACUGAAAAUAUUACACAAAAAUAUCUUAUAUUGCACCCAUUCCCUCAUUCACUAGCAGAAAGAAAGUAGUGUUAUUGAAGUACUUUCAAAAGACAGUUGCUAAAUUGAAUUUUUAUAUUACAUUGUAAAAGAUUUCAUCAGUCAGUGCAAUAUUCCUUUUGCCAUAUAUGCUUAAAUGUGUACUCCCGUUUAUGUAUGCCACUAUAGAUAGGUGUAUCGAUCAAUAGACACAGAUACAUAUAGGACUAUAUAUUAAUAUAGUUGUUUUGUGAGAACUACAGUAGAUUAAAUAAUUUUGCAUGAUUGCUUUUUAUUCUCCUUCUAUACACAAAGAGUCUUGUACUCACAAAAGGAAGCUCUACUAAAUUAUUCUGAUUUCUCCAUCCCUUAACCUUCAGGAGUGACCUCUAGGGACAGAGAGGGCUAUUGUGUAGGCAGGUAGGGAAACCCUAUUGCUCAGGCAGAAUUCCUCUUGUUCCUUUCCUGAUCCAGCCCAAUGAAUUCAAACUCAAGCUCACAUAUUACACUGAGUACAAGGUGUUUCCUAU
rnacentral:lncRNA from 1 species